CAGUCGCCGCGGUAAUACAGAGGAUGCAAGCGUUAUCCGGAAUUAUUGGGCGUAAAGGGUGCGUAGGCGGCUUGACAAGUCUUGUGUGAAAUCUAUGGGCUCAACCCAUAGUCUGCACGGGAAACUGUCGGGCUUGAGAAUGGGAGAGGUGAGUGGAAUUUCCGGUGUAGCGGUGAAAUGCGUAGAUAUCGGAAGGAACACCUGUGGCGAAAGCGGCUCACUGGACCAUUUCUGACGCUGAUGCACGAAAGCUAGGGGAGCAAACAGGAUUAGAUACCCCCGUAGUCCCUGUCUCUUAUAC
rnacentral:rRNA from 1 species